rnacentral:rRNA from 1 species
GAUGAACGCUGGCGGCGUGCCUAAUACAUGCAAGUCGAGCGAACAGAUGAGGAGCUUGCUCCUCUGACGUUAGCGGCGGACGGGUGAGUAACACGUGGAUAACCUACCUAUAAGACUGGGAUAACUUCGGGAAACCGGAGCUAAUACCGGAUAAUAUAUUGAACCGCAUGGUUCAAUAGUGAAAGACGGUUUUGCUAUCACUUAUAGAUGGAUCCGCGCCGCAUUAGCUAGUUGGUAAGGUAACGGCUUACCAAGGCAACGAUGCGUAGCCGACCUGAGAGGGUGAUCGGCCACACUGGAACUGAGACACGGUCCAGACUCCUACGGGAGGCAGCAGUAGGGAAUCUUCCGCAAUGGGCGAAAGCUUGACGGAGCAACGCCGCGUGAGUGAUGAAGGUCUUCGGAUCGUAAAACUCUGUUAUUAGGGAAGAACAAAUGUGUAAGUAACUAUGCACGUCCUGACGGUACCUAAUCAGAAAGCCACGGCUAACUACGUG